GACGAACGCUGGCGGCGUGCUUAACACAUGCAAGUCGAACGGAAAGGCCCUGCUUGCAGGGUGCUCGAGUGGCGAACGGGUGAGUAACACGUGGGUGAUCUGCCCCUUACUUUGGGAUAAGCCUGGGAAACUGGGUCUAAUACUGGAUAGGACCAUGCUGUAGGUGGUGUGGUGGAAAGAUUAGUUUCGGUAAGGGAUGAGCUCGCGGCCUAUCAGCUUGUUGGUGGGGUAAUGGCCUACCAAGGCGUCGACGGGUAGCCGGCCUGAGAGGGUGGACGGCCACAUUGGGACUGGGAUACGGCCCAGACUCCUACGGGAGGCAGCAGUGGGGAAUAUUGCACAAUGGGGGCAAGCCUGAUGCAGCGACGCCGCGUGGGGGAUGACGGCCUUCGGGUUGUAAACUCCUUUCAGCCAUGACGAAGCCCUUGUGGUGACGGUAGUGGUAGAAGAAGCACCGGCUAACUACGUG
rnacentral:rRNA from 1 species